rnacentral:rRNA from 1 species
UACGUAGGGUGCAAGCGUUGUCCGGAAUUAUUGGGCGUAAAGAGCUCGUAGGCGGUUUGUCGCGUCGGCUGUGAAAACUCGGGGCUCAACCCCGAGCCUGCAGUCGAUACGGGCAGACUAGAGUUCGGUAGGGGAGUCUGGAAUUCCUGGUGUAGCGGUGAAAUGCGCAGAUAUCAGGAGGAACACCGGUGGCGAAGGCGGGACUCUGGGCCGAUACUGACGCUGAGGAGCGAAAGCGUGGGGAGCAAACAGG